rfam:Suillus luteus TH-Slu-Lm8-n1 unplaced genomic scaffold CY34scaffold_237, whole genome shotgun sequence.
GGCCGCCUGGCGAAAUGGCAUCGCGUCUGACUACGAUAACGAAGGAAUCAGGAGAUUGCAGGUUCGACCCCUGCGGUGGUCA